rnacentral:rRNA from 1 species
UACGUAGGCAGCGAGCGUUGUUCGGAGUUACUGGGCGUAAAGAGUGCGUAGGCGGUUUUCUAAGUUUGGUGUGAAAUCUCCCGGCUUAACUGGGAGGGGCCGUGCGAAACUGCCGGGCUUGAGGUCAGAAGGGGAAAGUGGAAUUCCGGGUGUAGUGGUGGAAUACGUAGAUAUCCGGAGGAACACCAGCGGCGAAGGCGGCUUUCUGGUCUGAUACUGACGCUGAGGCGCGAAAGCGUGGGGAGCGAUCCGG